rnacentral:rRNA from 1 species
GACGAACGCUGGCGGCGUGCCUAAUACAUGCAAGUUGAGCGAUGAAGAUUGGUGCUUGCACCAAUUUGAAGAGCAGCGAACGGGUGAGUAACGCGUGGGGAAUCUGCCUUUGGGCGGGGGACAACAUUUGGAAACGAAUGCUAAUACCGCAUAACAACUUUAAACAUAAGUUUUAAGUUUGAAAGAUGCAAUUGCAUCACUCAAAGAUGAUCCCGCGUUGUAUUAGCUAGUUGGUGAGGUAAAGGCUCACCAAGGCGAUGAUACAUAGCCGACCUGAGAGGGUGAUCGGCCACAUUGGGACUGAGACACGGCCCAAACUCCUACGGGAGGCAGCAGUAGGGAAUCUUCGGCAAUGGACGAAAGUCUGACCGAGCAACGCCGCGUGAGUGAAGAAGGUUUUCGGAUCGUAAAACUCUGUUGGUAGAGAAGAACGUUGGUGAGAGUGGAAAGCUCAUCAAGUGACGGUAACUACCCAGAAAGGGACGGCUAACUACGUG